rnacentral:rRNA from 1 species
UACGUAGGGUGCAAGCGUUAAUCGGAAUUACUGGGCGUAAAGCGUGCGCAGGCGGUGAUGUAAGACAGAUGUGAAAUCCCCGGGCUCAACCUGGGAACUGCAUUUGUGACUGCAUCGCUGGAGUGCGGCAGAGGGGGAUGGAAUUCCGCGUGUAGCAGUGAAAUGCGUAGAUAUGCGGAGGAACACCGAUGGCGAAGGCAAUCCCCUGGGUUAACACUGACGCUCAUGCACGAAAGCGUGGGGAGCAAACAGG